rnacentral:rRNA from 1 species
GAAUGCUGACAUAAGUAACGAUAAAGCGGGUGAAAAGCCCGCUCGCCGGAAGACCAAGGGUUCCUGUCCAACGUUAAUCGGGGCAGGGUGAGUCGACCCCUAAGGCGAGGCCGAAAGGCGUAGUCGAUGGGAAACGGGUUAAUAUUCCCGUACUUGGUGUUACUGCGAAGGGGGGACGGAGAAGGCUAUGUUGGCCGGGCGACGGUUGUCCCGGUUUAAGCGUGUAGGUGUGUGUUCCAGGUAAAUCCGGUUCACUUUAACACUGAGGCGUGAUGACGAGGCACUACGGUGCUGAAGCAACAAAUGCCCUGCUUCCAGGAAAAGCCUCUAAGCAUCAGGUAACAUCAAAUCGUACCCCAAACCGACACAGGUGGUCAGGUAGAGAAUACCAAGGCGCUUGAGAGAACUCGGGUGAAGGAACUAGGCAAAAUGGUGCCGUAACUUCGGGAGAAGGCACGCUGACACGUAGGUGAAGUGAUUUACUCAUGGAGCUGAAGUCAGUCGAAGAUACCAGCUGGCUGCAACUGUUUAUUAAAAACACAGCACUGUGCAAACACGAAAGUGGACGUAUACGGUGUGACGCCUGCCCGGUGCCGGAAGGUUAAUUGAUGGGGUCAGCGCAAGCGAAGCUCCUGAUCGAAGCCCCGGUAAACGGCGGCCGUAACUAUAACGGUCCUAAGGUAGCGAAAUUCCUUGUCGGGUAAGUUCCGACCUGCACGAAUGGCGUAAUGAUGGCCAGGCUGUCUCCACCCGAGACUCAGUGAAAUUGAACUCGCUGUGAAGAUGCAGUGUACCCGCGGCAAGACGGAAAGACCCCGUGAACCUUUACUAUAGCUUGACACUGAACAUUGAGCCUUGAUGUGUAGGAUAGGUGGGAGGCUUUGAAGUGUGGACGCCAGUCUGCAUGGAGCCGACCUUGAAAUACCACCCUUUAAUGUUUGAUGUUCUAACGUGGACCCGUGAUCCGGGUUGCGGACAGUGUCUGGUGGGUAGUUUGACUGGGGCGGUCUCCUCCUAAAGAGUAACGGAGGAGCACGAAGGUUGGCUAAUCCUGGUCGGACAUCAGGAGGUUAGUGCAAUGGCAUAAGCCAGCUUGACUGCGAGCGUGACGGCGCGAGCAGGUGCGAAAGCAGGUCAUAGUGAUCCGGUGGUUCUGAAUGGAAGGGCCAUCGCUCAACGGAUAAAAGGUACUCCGGGGAUAACAGGCUGAUACCGCCCAAGAGUUCAUAUCGACGGCGGUGUUUGGCACCUCGAUGUCGGCUCAUCACAUCCUGGGGCUGAAGUAGGUCCCAAGGGUAUGGCUGUUCGCCAUUUAAAGUGGUACGCGAGCUGGGUUUAGAACGUCGUGAGACAGUUCGGUCCCUAUCUGCCGUGGGCGCUGGAGAACUGAGGGGGGCUGCUCCUAGUACGAGAGGACCGGAGUGGACGCAUCACUGGUGUUCGGGUUGUCAUGCCAAUGGCACUGCCCGGUAGCUAAAUGCGGAAGAGAUAAGUGCUGAAAGCAUCUAAGCACGAAACUUGCCCCGAGAUGAGUUCUCCCUGAGACUUUAGGUCUCCUGAAGGAACGUUGAAGACGACGACGUUGAUAGGCCGGGUGUGUAAGCGCAGCGAUGCGUUGAGCUAACCGGUACUAAUGAACCGUGAGGCUUAACCUUACAACGCCGAAG